UAGGGAAUCUUCGGCAAUGGACGGAAGUCUGACCGAGCAACGCCGCGUGAGUGAAGAAGGUUUUCGGAUCGUAAAGCUCUGUUGUUAGAGAAGAACGUUGGUAGGAGUGGAAAAUCUACCAAGUGACGGUAACUAACCAGAAAGGGACGGCUAACUACGUGCCAGCAGCCGCGGUAAUACGUAGGUCCCGAGCGUUGUCCGGAUUUAUUGGGCGUAAAGCGAGCGCAGGCGGUUCUUUAAGUCUGAAGUUAAAGGCAGUGGCUUAACCAUUGUACGGUUUGGAAACUGGAGGGCUUGAGUGCAGGAGGGGGGAGUGGAAUUCCAUGUGUAGCGGUGAAAUGCGUAGAUAUAUGGAGGGACACCGGUGGCGAAAGCGGCUCUCUGGUCUGUAACUGACGCUGGGGCUCGAAAGCGUGGGGAGCAAACAGG
rnacentral:rRNA from 1 species